rnacentral:rRNA from 1 species
AAUUUGACUAACUUGGUUUAGGCUGUUGCUGGCUCUUUAAAAAGGGGGCAUGUGCACGCCUACUCCAAAUUUAUAACCACCUGUGCACCUUUGUGUAGAUCUGAAUAACCCUCGAGAUAAACUCGGUCUGAGGAAUUGCUGAGCAGUUCAAUACUGCUGGCUUUUCUUUACAUUUUCCGAUCUAUGUUCUAAUACACUCCAAACAAAGUAAUAGAAAUUCUUUAUAGUCAGGCAGCUGCCGGCUUGUAAUGAUAUAUACAACUUUCAACAACGGAUCUCUUGGCUCUCGCAUCGAUGAAGAACGCAGCGAAAUGCGAUAAGUAAUGUGAAUUGCAGAAUUCAGUGAAUCAUCGAAUCUUUGAACGCACCUUGCGCUCCUUGGUAUUCUGAGGAGCAUGCCUGUUUGAGUGUCAUGAAAUUCUCAACCUUUCAAGCUUUUACUAAAGCUUGGUUAGGCUUGGAUUCUGGGAGUUUGCUGGGUUCAAAGAGUCAGCUCUCCUUAAAUGCAUUAGCAAGAUCAUCAUCGUUGGAUCAGCUUUGAUAUGAUAAUUAUCUAUAUCAUUGAUGAAACAAUUGCUUGCUGCUAACUGUCUUUGUUGACAACAUAAUUUGUUCCAUAAUUUGACAUCAAAUCAGGUAGGAUGCCCGG